GUAGGGAAUAUUGGGCAAUGGAGGCAACUCUGACCCAGCCAUGCCGCGUGCAGGAAGACGGUCCUCUGGAUUGUAAACUGCUUUUGAAUGGGAAGAAACGCACUUUUGCGAAAGUGUUUGACGGUACUAUUAGAAUAAGCACCGGCUAACUCCGUGCCAGCAGCCGCGGUAAUACGGAGGGUGCAAGCGUUAUCCGGAUUUAUUGGGUUUAAAGGGUGCGUAGGCGGCUUGAUAAGUCUGGGGUUAAAGGCGGCAGCUUAACUGUACGCAUGCCCUAGAUACUGUUGGGCUUGAGUGACCUGGAGGUAGCUGGAAUUCCCUGUGUAGCGGUGAAAUGCAUAGAUACGGGGAGGAAUACCGAUUGCGAAGGCAUGUUACUACGGGUAAACUGACGCUGAUGCACGAAAGCGUGGGGAUCAAACAGGAUUAGAAACCCUUGUAGUCC
rnacentral:rRNA from 1 species